AUGGCGGCUCCACUGCCUCGCGCCCCCGUCUCCUCCCCAGCGAGCCGCGCCGCCCUAUGUCCAGCCCGCUCCAACCCUUGCACGGCCGCGGCGCCAUCCUCGGGGGCCCUCGGGUGGCGGCGCAGGCAGCCUUGCCCGGUGCUCUCCAUUGCGCCGGGCUCCGCCCGGUCGACGCCAGCAGCCCUCGCCGUCGAUCCCAAGGUUGAAGCGUUACUAGACAGUGUGAAGUGGGACGUCAAAGGGCUGGCAGUUGCUAUUGCGCAAAAUGUGGAUACUGGAGCCAUUCUUAUGCAGGGCUUUGCUAACAAAGAGGCCCUUGCAGCAACUAUAUCAACCAGAAAAGCUACAUUCUAUAGCCGUUCACGGUCUUCAUUGUGGACUAAAGGGGAGACAUCCAUGAACUUCAUCAAUGUGCAUGACAUAUUCUUGGACUGUGACCGUGAUUCAAUAAUAUACCUUGGUACGCCAGAUGGACCUACAUGCCAUACAGGGGCAGAGACCUGCUACUAUUCUUCAGUCUAUGAUGCACUACAAGGUUCAAAGUCCAAUCAAGAGAGGCAGGUCGCCACAACUCUCUACUCGCUUGAAGAUACGAUCAGUAGGCGGAAGGAGGAGAUAGUUACUGAAGGGAGUGGUAAGCCAUCAUGGACGAAAAAACUACUGCUUGAUAACCAGCUGCUUUGCUCAAAAAUACGUGAAGAAGCAGGUGAACUAAUUGAAACACUGCUUGAGAAUGAGGACAAAUCUCGUACAGCCUCGGAGAUGGCUGAUUUACUGUACCACGCAAUGGUGCUCCUCAGCGUGAGGGAUGUGAAGAUGGAGGAGGUGCUGGAGGUCCUGAGGAGACGAUUUUCGCAGUCUGGCGUUGAGGAGAAGGCUAGCCGCAAGAAAUCUUAG
rnacentral:rRNA from 1 species